AUCCAGCUGACGAGUCAUGAAUAGGAUGAAGCGCUCGUCCUGGAU
rfam:Schistosoma rodhaini strain Burundi genome assembly, scaffold: SROB_scaffold0012736